rnacentral:ncRNA from 1 species
GGGAGCCGGAUGCGGUGAAAGUCGCACGUCCAGAUCUAACUGAGAGGGGCGGAGUUUAAUAGCUCCCCUCGACUCAAAC